AACGAACGCUGGCGGCGUGCUUAACACAUGCAAGUCGAACGUGAAAGUGGCUUCGGCCAUGAGUAAAGUGGCAGACGGGUGAGUAACACGUGGGUAACCUGCCCCUUGGCGGGGGAUAACCAUUCGAAAGGAUGGCUAAUACCGCAUAAGACCACGUCCUUAUGGGAUGGGGUAAAAGACGAAAGUCACCGAGGGAGGGGCCCGCGGCCGAUUAGCUAGUUGGUGAGGUAAUGGCUCACCAAGGCAACGAUCGGUAGCUGGUCUGAGAGGAUGAUCAGCCACACUGGUACUUAGACACGGACCAGACUCCUACGGGAGGCUG
rnacentral:rRNA from 1 species